GGUAAGUCUGGUGCAGCGGCCGGGGUAAUACCGGGGUUGCAAGCGUUAAUCGGGUUGACUGGGAGGAAAUCGUGCGUAGGAGGUUCAUUAAGUCGGUUGUGAAAUCCCUGGGCUUAACCGGGGAACUGCAGUGGAUACUGGUGAACUAGAGUGCGGUAGAGGGUGGCGGAACUCCGGGUGUAGCGGUGAAAUGCGUAGAUAUCCGGAAGAACACCGAUGGCGAAGGCAACCACCUGGGCCUGCACUGACGCUGAGGUACGAAAGCGUGGGGAGCAAACAGGAUUAGAUACCCGUGUAGUC
rnacentral:rRNA from 1 species